rnacentral:rRNA from 1 species
UACAGAGGUCUCGAGCGUUAGGCGGAAUCACUGGGCUUAAAGCGUGUGUAGGUGGAUGGGUAAGUACCUUGUGAAAUCCCACAGCUCAACUGUGGAACUGCUGGGUAUACUGCCUGUCUUGAGUCACUCAGGGGCGAGCGGAACAGAUGGUGGAGCGGUGAAAUGCGUAGAUAUCAUCUGGAACGCCAAUGGUGAAGACAGCUCGCUGGGGGUGUACUGACACUGAGACGCGAAAGCGUGGGGAGCGAACAGG